rnacentral:snRNA from 1 species
AUACUUACCUGGCAGGGGAGAUACCAUGAUCACGAAGGUGGUUCUCCCAGGGCGAGGCUCAUCCAUUGCACUCCGGCUGUGCUGACCCCUACGAUUUCCCCAAAUGCGGGAAACUCGACUGCAUAAUUUCUGGUAGUGGGGGACUGCGUUCGCGCUUUCCCCUG